rnacentral:misc_RNA from 1 species
UCGUAUCGUUCGGAAAAUUCGAUCCCCGCGCUCAUGGUCAGAAGCGCGCGCAACGAUGUCUGACCGUAGGCGCUGCCUUUCAUCUCCGGCACAUAGUCCUGCGCCUUGUCCUCGAUGGAGCGGAUCUUGCCCUCCUUGAUGGCGAUCCCCACCAGCAUCGCCACCAUGGUCUUCACCAUCGAGUUGGACANNNNNGGCGGUCGGUGUCGCGGCGUCCGUAUUGAUAGCGUUCGAACAGGAUCGUCGAAUCCCUGAC